GACGAACGCUGGCGGCGUGCUUAACACAUGCAAGUCGAACGCGCCUGUCCUCUGGGUUUCUGGGGGGUGGGUGAGUGGCGAACGGGUGAGUAACACGUGAGUAACCUGCCCCCUUCUUCGGGAUAACGGUCUGAAAGGGCUGCUAAUACCGGGUAUUCACUGGUCUCCGCAUGGGGUCUGGUGGAAAGGUUUUUUUCUGGUGGGGGAUGGGCUCGCGGCCUAUCAGCUUGUUGGUGGGGUGAUGGCCCACCAAGGCUUUGACGGGUAGCCGGCCUGAGAGGGUGACCGGUCUCAUUGGGACUGAGAUACGGCCCAGACUCCUACGGGAGGCAGCAGUGGGGAAUAUUGCACAAUGGGCGCAAGCCUGAUGCAGCGACGCCGCGUGAGGGAUGGAGGCCUUCGGGUUGUGAACCUCUUUCGCCCGUGGUCAAGCCGCGACGUGGGUCGUGGUGAGGGUAGUGGGUAAAGAAGCGCCGGCUAACUACGUG
rnacentral:rRNA from 1 species